GACAGAGGGUGCAAACGUUGUUCGGAAUUACUGGGCGUAAAGCGUGUGUAGGCGGCCUCAAAAGUCGGGUGUGAAAGCCCCGGGCUCAACCCGGGAAGUGCACUCGAUACUGUGAGGCUAGAGUAUCGGAGAGGUUGGUGGAAUUCUCGGUGUAGAGGUGAAAUUCGUAGAUAUCGAGAGGAACACCGGCGGCGAAGGCGGCCAACUGGACGAAUACUGACGCUGAGAUACGAAAGCGUGGGGAGCAAACAGG
rnacentral:rRNA from 1 species